CACGUAGGGCGCAAGCGUUGUCCGGAAUUAUUGGGCGUAAAGAGCUCGUAGGCGGUCUGUUGCGUCCGCUGUGAAAACUCGGGGCUUAACCCCGAGCCUGCAGUGGAUACGGGCAGACUAGAGUACUGCAGGGGAGACUGGAAUUCCUGGUGUAGCGGUGGAAUGCGCAGAUAUCAGGAGGAACACCGGUGGCGAAGGCGGGUCUCUGGGCAGUAACUGACGCUGAGGAGCGAAAGCGUGGGGAGCGAACAGG
rnacentral:rRNA from 1 species